AGAGCAAGCUUAGAAUAGAUACGCUCUCAUCCACAUGAAAUAUUGAACGAGGGAGCAAGAAAACAAGAGAGAGGAAAGGAAAAUGGAGAGAAUGAUAGAGAUAAAUACAAUCGUUAUUUGUUUAGUGCGCGCUGAGGGAGAGUGCGAGAUGGAGGGAGGGAGCGAACGAGAAGAAGGGAAGGAGACCACUUUGGAAAAGAUGGAUGAACGAGAGAGUCUUGCCGGCAGCAGUGGAAUGAAGGCCGUGUGGUGAGGGCAGGCUUUCCGAGAACGAAAGAGAGAGAAACAUUUGUUUGGAUUCUGAUGACUGAUAUAUGUGGAUGAAUGGCUUCUGCUCAAGUUCGGCAUGUUACCAACAGAGAGCCAAAGGCGAAAAUUUCAGAGACACGUCAUUUAAUACAUUAUUCAUUUAUAAUCCCUGGCUUCCUCUCACAAAUCCCAAAUAGGCAUGUUAGAGAGCUUAAGAAAUUUAUAUCCACAUGACCAACAAUGAAAAAGGCCUUUUUGAAUUUACUACUUUUUUAAGUGUCAGUCUCUGUUUGGUAAGACACCUGGACAAUUCAUCUCAUUGUUCUUUAAAGCUCUGUCAGACAGCACAGAGGUCUCUUGCGCACAGCCGUCUCUGCCAAAGGGAGGAACCCCCAGCAUGCUUGACAGUCGGGAUCAUAUUUGUUUGGAAUGAGCUGUGUUGGUUUGGCAAAUAUUUAUUUUGGAUUUUCUGCCAUGAUUUUUGGAUGUUGUGUCUCUUUGCAAAAUUUCUAUGAGCUUGGAUGUUAUUUGUUGAAAGAAAUAGUUUCCGUCCUAAAUUCCUACCCUAAAACUUAGACUUAGUGAAUAUGUAGGGAGUGUCCAGCCACGGCCAUAAAUUUUUACAGCUUCUUUAAGGUUCCUGUUGGCCUUGCUAACAAGCCUUCUCCUUGCCAAGUCAUCAGUUUUGUAAGAGCAUCCUGAUCUGUGCAAUGCCAUGGUUUUCCAUGUUGUCUCCACACUUACGGUCUUCAC